CCUACAGGCCACCCCCACCGUGUCCUCAGGGUCCAGUUUUCCCAGGAAUCCCUUAGGUGCUGAGAUGGGGAUUCCUGGAAAUACUGUUCUUGAGGUCAUGGCUUGGCAGCGGACGGAUGG
rnacentral:pre_miRNA from 13 species